AGCAUGUGGUUUAAUUCGAAGCAACGCGAAGAACCUUACCAGGUCUUGACAUCCCUGACAACCGAGAGAUCGGGCCGUUUCCCCCGUUCGGGGGGACAGGGUGACAGGUGGUGCAUGGUUGUCGUCAGCUCGUGUCGUGAGAUGUUGGGUUAAGUCCCGCAACGAGCGCAACCCUUCGACCUUAGUUGCCAGCAUUCAGUUGGGCACUCUAAGGUGACUGCCGGCUAAAAGUCGGAGGAAGGUGGGGAUGACGUCAAAUCAUCAUGCCCCUUAUGACCUGGGCUACACACGUGCUACAAUGGGCGGUACAAAGGGUCGCGAACCCGCGAGGGGGAGCCAAUCCCUUAAAGCCGAUCGUAGUCCGGAUCGUAGUCUGCAACUCGACUACGUGAAGUCGGAAUCGCUAGUAAUCGCAGAUCAGCAUGCUGCGGUGAAUACGUUCCCGGGUCUU
rnacentral:rRNA from 1 species